rnacentral:lncRNA from 1 species
GGCCACAUUCCUGGCCCACAAGAACACCACGGCUGCUUUUGUGGGCCCUGUCAAUCCUGGUUACUGCCCAGCUGCAGCUCUGCUGGCCCAAGGCUGCGGCAAGACCCUCUUCUCCUGGGCGUGUGGGGAUGCAGGGGGAGGAGGUGGGCUGGUGCCCACCUUGCCUUUGGCUGCCCACAUGCUGCUCUCUGUCAUGAAACACUUUGCCUGGGCUCGUGUGGCCAUUGUGUCCUCCCACCAGGACAUCUAGCUGGCUACUGCCCGGCAGGUGGCCAUGACUCUCAGGACACACGGGCUGCCCGUGGGGCUGGUGAUCUCUCUGGGACUCAGGGAGCAGGGGGCCACGGAGGUCCUGAAGCAGCUUUGCAGUGUGGAUGGCCUAAAAAGCCAAGGGGAAUGUAUUCAUGUUUUCUCAGACCUUGAGGAUGCCCUCAUCCACCGUUGAGAUUACAAGCCAAUGAUAAAUGGAUAAACAAAAUGUUUAUACAAUGGAAUAUUGUGCAACAGUAAAAAUGAAUGAAGUACUGAUACAGGCUAUCAUAUGGGUGAGCCUGGAAAACAUUAUGCUAACUGAAAGAGGCCAGACAUAAAAGGCUGCAUAUUGUACAAUUCUAUUUACAUGAAAUGUCCAGAAGAGGCAUAUUCAUAGAGAGAGAAAGUAGAUUAGUGGUUGCCUGGGGUUAGGAGGAAAGAGAAAUAGGGAGUAACCGGUAUUGGGUAUAGGAUUUCUUUCUGAGUGAUGAAAAUGUUCUAAAAUUAAAUAGUGGCAGUGGUUUCAUAACCUUAUGCAUAAAACUCCUGAGUUAUACCCUUUUUAAAAGGUGAAUUUUAUGAUAUAUGAAUUAUCUAAAAUUUUAGAAAAUGUUAAAAUAUAGAAAGAUUAUAAGUUGGAAGCCAGCCUUCCUGAGUUCCAGGACUGGCUCUAUCACCCUGGUAGCUGUGUAUCCUGGGGAAAGUCCUUAACCUCUCUGUGCCUUGGUUUACUCAUCUGAGAGUAGAGAUAAUGAUGAACAUACUUCUUUUUUUAAUAUUUAGUUUUAUUUGUUUAUUUGGCCGUGCUGGGUCUUAGCUGUGGCCUAUGAGGACCUGGGCUGUCGCACUGGGACCACGGCAUCUUCCGCACUCGACCACCAGGGAAGUCCUAAACAUACUUCUUCGUUUUGUUGUUAAUUGAACGAGUAAAUGUUUGUUAAAGUACUUUAGGACAACACAUUACAAGAUGUCAAUAAAUAUUAGCAAUUUUCAGAGCCA